GGGUGUAUAGCUCAACUGGCAGAGUUUCGGUCUCCAAAACCGAAGGUUGUGGGUUCAACUCCCUCUGCGCCCG